rnacentral:lncRNA from 1 species
CUUCCCAACCAUUAGGGCACAAACACCCUAAUUUCUCCGCUAUUCUUCCUCUUUCUUCUCUUCCUCUUCUUUGAAGGCACAAAUGCUGAGACUUCAACACCCCAAUUUUUUCAGUCGACAGUCCUCAACAAAGGCCGAGACCUCAGUAGCGUAGGUUUUCAGUCGACGGUUUUCCAUUUUUGCAAAGGGGUUUUGUUCUCAGAGGUAUGGGCUUGCUUUCUUCUGAUAUUUGACAAAUUAAGUGUCAAAUCUUUGACAAUUUCGUUACUUUUCUUGUGUUAAAAAAGUGAUUUUUUUAUACCUAUCUGAAAAAUAGAAGAAAACCUUUGAAAUUGUAAUUUUUUGCUGCAGAUCUCUGAAAUUCGAAGUCGUGUGUUUGUAGAAUUCUGAAACUCGAAGUUGUGCAUUGAUUUUAGGGAUUGCAUGUCCUUGAUAAGGUAAGCUUCUUUGUGAUUUUAUCUUGUCUUGUGCUUUACUUUGGUGUUUUCUUUUCAAAGUUUCUCCAUUUGCCUUUUUGUUCACUGGCAUUGAUGUUGCUGCAGAUAUUGCCCUCCCUCCAGAUUUCUUUGCUAAUUUUAUUAUAUUUUAG